rnacentral:rRNA from 1 species
CAGUCGCCGCGGGAAUACGUAUGUCACAAGCGUUAUCCGGAUUUAUUGGGCGUAAAGCGCGUCUAGGUGGUUAUGUAAGUCUGAUGUGAAAAUGCAGAGCUCAACUCUGUAUUGCGUUGGAAACUGUGUAACUAGAGUACUGGAGAGGUAAGCGGAACUACAAGUGUAGAGGUGAAAUUCGUAGAUAUUUGUAGGAAUGCCGAUGGGGAAGCCAGCUUACUGGACAGAUACUGACGCUGAAGCGCGAAAGCGUGGGUAGCAAACAGGAUUAGAUACCCCCGUAGUCCCUGUCUCUUAUACA